CCUGCCUGGCAGCACUACGGCGGCUCCGGGGCUCCGGGGACUUGGCAGGGGAGCUGGAGGAGCUGGAGGAGGAGCGCGCUGCCUGCCAGGGCUGCCGUGCCCGGCGCCCAUGGGAGCUGUUCCAGCAUCGGGCCCUGAGGAGACAGGUGACAAGCCUCGUGGUUCUGGGCAGUGCCAUGGAGCUCUGCGGGAAUGACUCGGUGUACGCCUACGCCUCCUCCGUGUUCCGGAAGGCAGGAGUGCCGGAAGCGAAGAUCCAGUACGCGAUCAUCGGGACUGGGAGCUGCGAGCUGCUCACGGCGGUUGUUAGUAGCUCCUUCCCCUGGACACUCUACCUGGCCAUGGCCUGCAUCUUUGCCUUCAUCCUCAGCUUUGGCAUUGGCCCUGCCGGAGUGACGGGGAUCCUGGCCACAGAGCUGUUUGACCAGAUGGCCAGGCCUGCUGCCUGCAUGGUCUGCGGGGCGCUCAUGUGGAUCAUGCUCAUCCUGGUCGGCCUGGGAUUUCCCUUUAUCAUGGAGGCCUUGUCCCACUUCCUCUAUGUCCCUUUCCUUGGUGUCUGUGUCUGUGGGGCCAUCUACACUGGCCUGUUCCUUCCUGAGACCAAAGGCAAGACCUUCCAAGAGAUCUCCAAGGAAUUACACAGACUCAACU
rnacentral:misc_RNA from 1 species